rnacentral:rRNA from 1 species
UGUCCUGGACCCGAAGCGGGAUGAUCUAGCCCUGGGCAGGUUGAAGCGCGGGUAAGACCGCGUGGAGGACCGAACCCACCUGGGUUGAAAACCGGGGGGAUGACCUGGGGCUAGGGGUGAAAGGCCAAUCAAAUUCCGUGAUAGCUGGUUCUCUCCGAAAUGCAUUUAGGUGCAGCGUCGGUCGAUUGCGUCGCGGGGGUAGAGCUACCGGAUGCUUGCGGGCCCUUGUUGGGUACCAACAGCAGCCGAACUCCGAAUACCGUUGACGUGUAUUCCGGCAGUGAGUCGGCGGGGGAUAAGCUCCGUCGUCGAGAGGGAGACAGCCCAGACCGUCGUCUAAGGUCCCGAAGCGUGUGCUAAGUGGGAAAGGAUGUGGAGUCGCAUAGACAGCCAGGAGGUUGGCUCAGAAGCAGCCAUCCUUGAAAGAGUGCGUAACAGCUCACUGGUCUAGUGGUUCCGCGCCGACAAUGUAGCGGGGCUCAAGCACACCACCGAAGACGCGGCAGCGCAUCUGAUGCGCUGGGUAGGAGAGCGUCCUGCGAGGGGCGAAGCGGCGGUGGAAACCGGCCGUGGACUUCGUGGGAGUGAGAAUGCAGACAUGAGUAGCGAGAGACGGGUGAGGAUCCCGUCCGCUGGAUGACCAAGGGUUCCGGGGCCACGUUCGUCGUCCCCGGGUGAGUCGGGUCCUAAGGCGAGGCCGACAGGCGUAGUCGAAUGGAUGAACGGGUGGAUAUUCCCGUACCGACCAUGGACCGGCAAAACCGAGACGGUGAGUACUAACCUCCGCCUCGUGGUGGUUCCUUCCUUCGGGUUGGUUCCGUCGCGUGGUGUUGGGAGCGUAGCCGCAGUAGGUCAGCGCAGGGGUGACACGGAAUGGGAGCCGGCCGCGGAGGUGGUUUUCCGUGGUCAAGCACGCAGCCAGUCAUGUAGGCAAAUCCGCAUGGCAUGCAUGGCGAGGUGUGAUGAUGGGAACCGUUAUGGUUCGAUAUCCGGUUGUCCAGGCCGUCGAGAAAAGCCUCGGCGUGAGGGCCAUGGCCGCCCGUACCCCAAACCGACACUGGUGGUCAGGUAGAGAAUACCAAGGCGAUCGAGCGAAUCCUGGUCAAGGAACUCGGCAAAUCACUCCCGUGCCUUCGGUAUAAGGGAGACCCACUGGGGUGAAGGACCUUGCGUCCGGAGCUUUGGUGGGUGGCACAGACCAGGGGGUAGCGACUGUUUACCAAAAACACAGGUGCAUGCGAAGGCGAAAGCCGCUGUAUAUGCACUGACGCCUGCCCGGUGCCGGAAGGUUAAGAGGAUCCGUCAAUCCCUUCGGGGACGAAGCGGUGAAUUCAAGCCCCGGUAAACGGCGGUGGUAACUAUAACCAUCCUAAGGUAGCGAAAUUCCUUGUCGGGUAAGUUCCGACCUGCACGAAUGGCGUAACGACUUCCCCACUGUCUCGACCAGGAGCUCGGCGAAAUUGCAGUACGAGUAAAGAUGCUCGUUAAGCGCAGAAGGACGAAAAGACCCCGGGACCUUUACUAUACCUUGGUAUUGGCGUUAGGCGCGGAUUGUGUAGCAUAGGCGGGAGGCUUUGAAACGGUGGCGCCAGCCAUCGCGGAGCCGCAAGGUGAAAUACCGCUCUGUUCUCGUUUGACGUCUAACCUCGACAAGUCAUCCUUGUCAGGGACAGUGCCUGGCGGGUAGUUCAACUGGGGCGGUUGCCUCCCAAAGAGUAACGGAGGCGCUCAAAGGUCCGCUCAGCCCGGUUGGCAAUCGGGUGUCGAGUGUAAUCGCACAAGCGGGCUUGACUGCGAGGACGACGGUCCGAGCAGGGACGAAAGUCGGAGAUAGUGAUCCGGUGCCGGCGCACGGGCGCGGCAUCGCUCAACGGAUAAAAGGUACCCCGGGGAUAACAGGCUGAUCAUUCCCAAGAGUCCAUAUCGACGGGAUGGUUUGGCACCUCGAUGUCGGCUCGUCGCAUCCUGGGGCUGGAGCAGGUCCCAAGGGUUCGGCUGUUCGCCGAUUAAAGCGGCACGCGAGCUGGGUUCAGAACGUCGUGAGACAGUUUGGUCUCUAUCCUCUGCGCUCGUUGGAAUCCUGAGGAGGCCUGCCCAUAGUACGAGAGGACCUGGGUGGACGAACCUCUGGUAUGCCGGUUGUCGCGCCAGCGGCACGGCCGGUUGGCUACGUUCGGGAGGGAUAACCGCUGAAAGCAUCUAAGCGGGAAGCCUGCUCCAAGAUUAGGAUUCCGUACAGUCUUGAACUGUUGU